CCCUUUGACAAGUCAGUACUUCGGCUGCAUCAUAUUUCCAUUAACCUUUAGCCCUUUUAGAAGUCAGUGCUUCGGCUGAAAACUUAUAAAAUGGAAUAGGGUUAUAUUAUCACCACCCAUCAGUAUUUUCCUUGUUUGCAUGACUCUUUACAAUAGGAAGAUAAGAUCAUCUGUUAAAGUUUCAAGAAAUUGGGGUAAGGCAUACACGUUUUAAACUUAAAUUUAAGUGACACACCCAUGUUAUUUGACUCAAUUUCUGAUGAUUAUACUAUACACAACGACAACCAAGCCUUAUCCCACUAAGUGAGGUCGGCUACAUGAAUCAAACGAUGCCAUAGUGUUCUGUCAAAAAUAAUGCAGCGGCCCUUGCUCAUUUGACACCGUACUCGAGCUAUACACAGCACGUUGCUUCUAGGCAACGACCUAGCCUUAACACUAUUGCGUAUUUGAUUCAUAUCAAAAAGAUUGGACAAAGUUUUAUGUUUGUUGCCCAAGCUUAACAUAGGCAGGAUUAAAAUCGCUAGAAGGAGGGGUUGAACCUCCACCUUGUGGUUAACAGCCACACGCUCUAACCAACUGAGCUAUUCCAGCUUGUUUAUGAUUAUUAUACUAUAUGGUUCCUAAUGUUAUAAUCCCUUUAAUAUCUUCCAAAUUUCUUUGUUUGUACACUAUCUUCUAUUUUCCACCUUAUCUUAGACUGGAUGCCGUGAGGAAAGAGGGUGAAUUAUUAUGUUUGGAGUCUUGUGUCCUCGCAAGAAUUAGGAACCUAUCAAGUUGUAAUUAGAAACAGUCAUUGCUUCUAUUUGAUUUUUUAGUGUGAUGUAGAUGAGAAGUGGUUUAUGCAAUCAAUUUGUAUUCUUCUUAUGGAAUGAUGUGUGUGGUUCUUAAAUUUUGUAUCAAAUAAAGAUUUGAUAUUGUUCUAUGAUCACCAACCUUGUUUUGUUAUUUUGAGGGGCUAGAUGGAACGUAAGUUUGAUUAUGAGACCAGUUAGAAAAACAUAAUUGUUUGUUGGUAUAUUUAAAUUUGAUUGUUGGGUUCAAUAAAGAGAUAUAAGUGUUAGUAUCCCUAAUGAGUUAGUUUAUAAAUUGGUAAUGCUGAGCAUAAGCUAUACUGAAAUAAUAAUGUGGUUAAGGUCUAAAAUCAAUGAGUUUUGUAAGGCAAGUUGAAAUUCAAAGAACUAUACCUUCUGUGUCUCGGGUGUGGGUAGGUUUUCUACAAAUUAUGUUUGAACAUUGAUAAUAGGAAUCAGGAGUACAUACGAUGGGCUGGAGAAGAAGCAUGAUGGCUGGUCUAGACAUUCAAGUGCUUCGGAGUUGAAUUAAGGAACCAAAUGUAGUUUGUUAUUAAGGCUUACAUAUGGCAUUUCAGGUGUUUAGUUGCUGCAUGAUUAUGCAGAAAAAUAUAGUUGAACAAGUUUCCUAUCAAUUUAGAGACAUGCAGGCUCAAACUUGGUAAAGAAGAUUAGGAAGCCUAAGUGAUGAUUUAGAGUUCAGACAAAACUAAGAUAAGAUUUCCUUUCUUACAAUCCUACCAAAUUUCGCAAGCUUUAAAUCUCUAAUAUGGUUUAGACUAAACAUGAGGGCUAUAACCAACUUGAAGGUAUUUUGGGGUUUAAUGGAGUGCUGAUAAUGUGUGUUCUAACAGUUGUUUAUGUUAAUUUGUUCGCGGUUGUUGAAUGUUGAUAUUCAAAUCUACAUUUGCUUAUUUGGAUUGCUCUUAAUCUAUCUUGCAGUGCAUGAGCUCAAUUCAAGUAGACAGUGAAUUUUGAAAACCGUCGGUGCAUCCGAUGCUUUCGUUUGUUAUAGUUUGUGAGGGAACUUCAGCUUGGAUUAGGAAGCAGAAUGGUGUUGUGCCAAAGUUUUCCUUGCUUCCACCCUACAAACUCCUCACAAGCAGCCAAAUGUACUCGUAGAUUUUGGAAAUUUUAGAAGACCCUCCAAAAUUGAAUGAGUGGAAUGUAAUAAACCCUAAUUUGAAGUCAUUUAGCAAUUUUUGUGGGAAAAAAAAGUAAGCUUCAGGACUUGUAAGUCCAAUGAUAUUAGGAUGAAAAAUUGAGAAUUGUGAAAGGAGUCUUUUAUCAUUUUAUCAAUCUUUUUAAAAUUUUAACUUGCUGCAUUAUGCAGAUGCAACAAAUGAUGAGCACCUGCAUUUUGGAAUUUGGACUAAAACGACAUUACAUGUACACACUAAACAGGACUUUUUUUUUUUUGACUCAGUACACAGGACUUGGAAUAGAAAUAAUUGUCACAUCAAAUAUUGUUUUUUUAUAGAGUCACAUCAAAUAUUGUAAAGUGCUUAAGAGAAAGAAGAUUGAAAUGAAAGUAGUACCUUUGACACUUGAACUGAUUGGAUUCAGAGCGUGCAUUAUCAAGAGCAAAUACAUAAGAAAAGUUAAUGACUAGUAGUAGAGGAAAAAGCACAACAAGCAAUUUUUUUUUUGUACAAAGCCGCAAGAAUCUAACUAUACGAGAGUAAACUACUUGCUCCUUGCAAAUCUUAUGAAAAAUAUAUCUGAAAGCGACAAAUUCAUAAGUUAUCUUCAUGUAUACAAGUCACAUCCUUGAAUCUCUAUAUAUAUUCUCUAGUAUAGAAAGAUUAGGUUGGAAAAUGGGGACAAGCUGAGUGAUUGUUUAUUUUGUAUGAUGUAUAUAAUAAACAUAACACUACAAAUUGUUAUAGAAAUAAACGAUUUCUCUUCAAUCUUCAUUAACUACUAAAGAAACUCAACGCAUGACUCAAGUGUUAUAAUUUUGGGCAUUCUUGUGAAGAAUUUUCGGAUUUUUAAUUAUAAA
rnacentral:lncRNA from 1 species